GAUGAAGAACGUAGCGAAAUGCGAUAAGUAAUGUGAAUUGCAGAAUUCAGUGAAUCAUCGAAUCUUUGAACGCACAUUGCGCCCCCUGGUAUUCCGGGGGGCAUGCCUGUCCGAGCGUCAUUACAACCCUCAAGCUCAGCUUGGUGUUGGGCCCCGCCGUCCCGGCGGGCCCUAAAGUCAGUGGCGGUGCCGUCCGGCUCCGAGCGUAGUAAUUCUUCUCGCUCUGGAGGUCCGGUCGUGUGCUCGCCAGCAAACCCCAAUUUUUUCAGGUUGACCUCGGAUCAGGUAGGGAUACCCGCUGAACUUAAGCAUAUCAAUAAGCGGAGGA
rnacentral:misc_RNA from 1 species